rnacentral:rRNA from 1 species
GACGAACGCUGGCGGCGUGCUUAACACAUGCAAGUCGAACGGAAAGGCCCUGCUUUUGUGGGGUGCUCGAGUGGCGAACGGGUGAGUAACACGUGAGUAACCUGCCCUUGACUUUGGGAUAACUUCAGGAAACUGGGGCUAAUACCGGAUAGGAGCUCCUGCCGCAUGGUGGGGGUUGGAAAGUUUCGGCGGUUGGGGAUGGACUCGCGGCUUAUCAGCUUGUUGGUGGGGUAGUGGCUUACCAAGGCUUUGACGGGUAGCCGGCCUGAGAGGGUGACCGGCCACAUUGGGACUGAGAUACGGCCCAGACUCCUACGGGAGGCAGCAGUGGGGAAUAUUGCACAAUGGGCGGAAGCCUGAUGCAGCAACGCCGCGUGCGGGAUGACGGCCUUCGGGUUGUAAACCGCUAUCGCCUGUGACGAAGCGUGAGUGACGGUAAUGGGUAAAGAAGCACCGGCUAACUACGUG